GAGGGUAUAGCUCAGCAGAAGAGUGUAUGCUUAGCAUGCACGAAGGGCCUGGGUUCAAUCCCCAGUACCUCCA
rnacentral:tRNA from 1 species